CGAAAUGGGAUAGAACAAUAUAUCUUCUCUCUACUAUCUACUAAAAAGAGGCUAAGCGUCACUUUUUUUCGUCCUCCCUCUCUUCCUUCGUUCUUCGUCUCCCGUCCGCGCAUCCGGACCCCGCACUCCCAGCUCGCACACAUCCCACCUCGCCCACGCCUCUCGACGGUUCCCGACGCUCGCCGCCCUCCUCGCCCAUCUCCGUAUCCCGCGCUCCCCCGCUCCUCUCCUUCGCCCGCCCCGCCCCGCAGCCGCGCAUCCCUCGCCGCCGGCCCUCACCGCCGCGGCUCGCCCCGACGCUCCCCCGCACGCCCCCCCUCCCGCAAUCCCAUCUUCCCAACACCGCACCGUCCCUCUCCCAGUCUCCCUCCCUCCCCGCCCGCCGCUCGCUCCCCGCUUGCCGCUCCAUCCCAGGCCGGCGAUCCGCGCCGGCCCAUCCCCGGCUGCCGAUCCGCGCCGUGCCCGGCCGCACGUCCUCUGCCGUCGAUCCGCUCCUUGCCGCCGCCGAUCGCGUGCCCGGCCGCACGUCCUCGGCCACCGAUCCGCUCCGCUCCUUGCCCGGCCGCCGAUCUGCUCCGUGCCCGGCGGUCCGUCCGCCGGCUCCCCUCAAGGACACUGAUCCCUUCCUCGCCCUUGCCCAGCCCUUCCUCACAUGGAUCCCCGCUUCCUCCCAGGAGUGCGCAGUAGGUAACUAAAUUGAUAACUGAAUGAUUUUGUUCGGCCUCCUGCUUCUAUCAAAAAGUUCAGGUUUCCAUCUUGCUGACGAUACCGAGGGGCUUACGCAAAAGAGUGCUACUAUUCUGACUGUUUUUUGAAGCCUGAUGAUAGAAGGAUCAAAAGAAACAAGAAGCAUCCUGACUGUCCAGCAGCUGAACAUCAGGCUGCACCCAUCACCUGCACUCCCACAGUCAAGCAUCUCUCAGACAUAUCUUCAACAGCUUCCACACAACCACUAGGCAAACUCCUGAGGAAAUUUUACUCCCGUGGCUUACGUCAAGGCACACAGAGCCAACGACGGUCUCGACAUUGCCUUCAGGCUGCUCGACCCGUCAAGGAGCAGUUCCCCACCCUAUCCUACGCUGAUUUCUACCAGUAUUGGAAUGACCUGGUACGAUGUGACAAUUCUAUUCUUGCGAUAGACCUGCGGGUAAGAAACGUUGUAGUGCUCCUCUAAGCAAAGGUUCUGGACAGCACUGCUGCAGAGGGGGAGAAUUAGGGCUGCAACCAUGACCAAUGAGCAGAGGAGGAAGGAACAAAAAGCGGUGUGAGGCUUAAUAGGAAGAUGUAUAUGCACGUGUAUGAAGGAAGAAGAUCUUUAAUGUUAAAUAAAAUGCUCACGUUCACACGAAAUGUGGUGAGUGAUCAGGGCUUAACUUUAGGAACUCAAGAAUUUGGAUCGUGAUGAACACAUUCUUCAGGCGGCUUAGUUUAAUUCUUAUGGAACACACGACUUAGAUUGGGAUGAAGUCCAGCUAAUCCCUGCCGAUAUAGGAGUAUUUCUGCAUUAGUAUGAUAACUUGAUAUCUGAUAUAAAGUUCUCAUAUGGCCCUAACAUUGUACAGCUCGAUAUGCUAAUAUUGCCUGUAACCCAGACACCUGACUGAUUUGCCGUAUUCAUUUGCUUCAACCUUAAUCUACAUGAAUAUAAAUUCAAGUUCUGGAGUAUUGAGUUUAA